AAAACACCGUGCACAACCAACAUACUCGAGGCUGUAAGAAAUAUCUGUCGUAAUUCAAUCAAAAAUGAAUAUUAUCUAUGUAUUGAGUUUGAGUUAGCUUCUCGAAUCACUACGUGAAAUAAUAAAAAAUAUUAUUUUCAUAGAAUAAUGUUAUCUAAUUAAUCAUUCGCCUACUAUUCUAAUAAUUGAUUCGUUAUUAUUUCAUGCAACUCAACCUUCUGGCAACGGCAUUGAAAAAUCUAAACCAAAUCGGAAACAUAGAUCAUAUUCACUUUUAAUUUAGCUGUAAAUUAUAAUCAUAGAGAUAUAAGGAUAGAGUGCGAGGGCGAGCUGAGAAAGCGAAAGCGAAAGCGAAAGAGAACGCUGCAUAAAGGCCUCUUGUGUCCUUGUCUAAUAACGCAUGCUCGUUCGUAUAGCAAACAUAUAAGUGUAUAGCCAACACAAACAUUGUCAGUGUCAUGCCUGAUUAGACAAGGACAGAAGACACUUUUAUGCAGCGUUCUUUCUACUCCUAUAUCGCAUCCACUUACACGAUAAUUUAAGACUAUAUGACUCGCGUACUCUAACUCUUUGUAUAUCUAUGGUUAUAAUAGACAUUUAUUGCAGUCUCACAGUUGUUAGAAAUUUUGAGUUUUAGGACAUGUCUAAGAAUCAUCGAAAUGGAAAGGUUUCCUCGGUGCGUCAAUAUCUUCAAGAAUUCGUGGACAUGGCUGCAAGCGUUAGUGGAGAGGACAGAGUCGUUCUAUCAGGCGUAACGAUCAGUGGACAGUCCUGUGCGAAAUCUUCAGUUGCGAACAGUAUCUCCAAGCAUCGAUGAAGUUUUUACCGGUUGCAGUUUACCAGUUUGAAUCGGCGUCCUUGAUCGAUAGUUAUUUUCGAAGGUACGCCGAAACGAGCUAUUCGUGUAGAGAGGAGAACCGAGGCAACGGUUGUCGCUUCCAUAUCAACGAUGGGAAUGGCUUCGGACCAACGCGAAAAACGGUCGAUACACGUUAGACAAUGUGAGAAUACGUGCCUGGUGACAUUGCAUCGUUGACACGGGAUACAUUGUCGUGCCCAAGUCCGGCAAUCUUUAUUUACGGACGGUCAAAUGAAACGCGACGUCACCAAUUUUUGCGUGGCACGUAUCUCUGGAUGGGAAAGUCCGUGGAGCGAAUUAAACACGUCGCGCCGCAAGGAUUUCGGUACGUACCAUCGUACAAUGUCGCCUGAUAUGUCGCAAUAAAUUUCUACCUAUAA